rnacentral:rRNA from 1 species
AUUGAACGCUGGCGGAAUGCUUUACACAUGCAAGUCGAACGGCAGCACGGGGCAACCUGGUGGCGAGUGGCGAACGGGUGAGUAAUACAUCGGAACGUGCCCAAUCGUGGGGGAUAACGUAGCGAAAGUUACGCUAAUACCGCAUACGAUCUACGGAUGAAAGCGGGGGAUCGCAAGACCUCGCGCGAGUGGAGCGGCCGAUGUCAGAUUAGGUAGUUGGUGGGGUAAAGGCUCACCAAGCCAACGAUCUGUAGCUGGUCUGAGAGGACGACCAGCCACACUGGAACUGAGACACGGUCCAGACUCCUACGGGAGGCAGCAGUGGGGAAUUUUGGACAAUGGGCGCAAGCCUGAUCCAGCCAUUCCGCGUGCAGGAUGAAGGCCUUCGGGUUGUAAACUGCUUUUGUACGGAACGAAACGGCGAGCUCUAAUACAGUUUGCUAAUGACGGUACCGUAAGAAUAAGCACCGGCUAACUACGUGCCAGCAGCCGCGGUAAGG